GAGACACCCCUCUGGGGCUAGACUUACUUUGAUGGGGCUUUGGUGCUCACUGAGUCUGCCCCCUGAGUGUGUCUUU
rnacentral:pre_miRNA from 1 species